GGGAGGUGUGGGGGGGGGAAGCGGACGCAGGGGUGAAGAGGUGACUGCAGGCCGGACGGCGCGGGCCGCGUGGUCGGGGGUGAGUCGGAGUGGCAGCCGGACCCCCGCGCAUCCUCAGAUCUGCCACCCCGCUCCCUCGCUUGCGGUAGCAUUGAGCCGGGCCAGUGUGACCAAUUGCUGGCCUAUUUGGUUGACUUAGGUGACCCCAGAAGUUUCUGGAACGUAGGCGGUCCUCAAAUAAAUGUGUGAUGAGUGAAUGAAGCAUGGGCCCCACCAUUCUGGUCAGGACGUGGUGGGCUGGGGGCAGGGGGAGGAUCCCUGCUGAGCACAAGGACCCUCAUUCCGACCCUGGGGGACCACCCCCUGUUAAAACAGCUCAGAGAAGGUGGGCAUAUGGAGCUAAACCGGCUCUGGGAGACAGAGGCACGGGUCCAGCCAAGCGGAGAGGCCCACAGCCCCGGGAACCGGCUUCCCCCGCUCCCAUCCCCCACAGGCUCUUCCUCUGGAAUAUUUGGGGAAAGAGAAUUUCUGGCCCAGCAGUCCCAGUGCUGGUCCCUGAAGCAGCUCUGGCCUGCCAUAGGUCUCCGCUGGCCUUGCUGCUGGUCACCUCCAGGAACUCUGGGGUACAGUGUUGACAUCCUUGGCCUGGCCUCUCAAGGAGAGGCCUCCAGGGGAGACCACUCUCAGUCACUGCCCAGCUUCAUACCCAGGGCCAAGCCCGGCCUUCGUGCCUAAAGAAUCGGCAACCCCAAUUCAGACCGGUGAGUGUGUGCGUGUGUAAUCCGCUGUGGGAGUGUUUGAAGAUAUCACAACGGUUUCACCGCAUGGAAAAGGAAAGCUUAAAGUUCAGCAUCUGAUCUCGGGAUCCCUAAAGGUCGUAGCCCCUUGUGGUAAACCCCUUGCCUGUGCUGUGUGCCCAGUAUUCGUGCUGAGGUAGGUUUCCUCCCAGUAGCCAGGGUGUCCCUUCUCCCAUUGCCUCCCCUCGCCCCACCCUCAGUCUCUAAAAUCCCUCAACUUAGAAAAAAGUAAUUUCUCCACCCAAGACACACCUUUAUUAUAGCAUGUACAGAGUCUUGGCAUCUCUUUGACUCAACCGCCCCCUACCCGACCAGGCCGAGACUCCCCUUUGUAGACUGGGUCAGCAGUCACUAAGAUUUGCCAGCCUCCAGUCUGCUCAAUGACCAGUUUGCCGAAGCUCAAUCUGCUGAGUGGCCAGCUCUCCCAGUGCUUGAGGAACCUCCUUCCUAUCUCUUUCAGUUGUACCUCUGACCUUGUUCCUACAUCCAGCCCUGCCUCUGUAUCUGCAUUGCAAAGUGGUUGUGGAGAACUCUCCUGAAUUCCAUUGGAAGUGUGUGUUUGGCGGCUCAGCACAGAGACAGAGGCAGGAGUGUAGCUGGAACACAUUUUUUAAAGAUUCUCAAUCAUUCAGUUUGGUUUUCAGCAAAUUGAUAUUCAGUGGUCUAGUUUCAUCAUAUUUGGCCUUUGGCUACCUGGCCAUUGUGUGAAUUGGCUUUUGGUGAAUUAGCCAGCUGUAGUUCUCCCAAACAAAUUGGCCAGCUUCCUCCUAAAGAUAAAUGGUACUGUCCACUCCUCCACGUGAAAAUGGCUGCAAUUUAAAAAUAUUUUCUGGUUUUCAUUAUUUUCUUUUUCUAUCCACGAGGUUAUUGAAUCGUACUUUUUAGUUUCCAAAUGUAUGGGUCCUUUUCAAAGUUUUCUUUUCCUUAUUGAGUUUUACCUUGUACUAAGAGAAUAUAGUAUGUGAUGUUCUUUUUGUUUAUGAUUUUCUGAGACUUGCUUUGUAGUCAGGGAUGUAAUAAACGUUUGAAACUGUUCUGUGUUUGUUUUGAAAGAGCAUGUAUGUGCUAAUGUUGGUUGUAGGAUCUAGUUUGAUCUGUUAAAUCAAGCUUACUGAUUGUGUUGUGUCCUCUCCAUCUUACCAUUUUUUGCUUCUCGAUGUAUCAGUUACUAAGAAUGAUGUAUUAAAAUCUAUUUAUGUUGUGCA